rnacentral:rRNA from 1 species
AUUGAACGCUGGCGGAAUGCUUUACACAUGCAAGUCGAACGGCAGCACAGAGAGCUUGCUCUCUGGUGGCGAGUGGCGAACGGGUGAGUAAUAUAUCGGAACGUGUCCAAUAAUGGGGGAUAACGAGUCGAAAGAUUCGCUAAUACCGCAUACGCCCUACGGGGGAAAGCAGGGGAUCGUAAGACCUUGCGUUAAUGGAGCGGCCGAUAUCUGAUUAGCUUGUUGGUGAGGUAAAGGCUCACCAAGGCGACGAUCAGUAGCUGGUUUGAGAGAACGACCAGCCACACUGGAACUGAGACACGGUCCAGACUCCUACGGGAGGCAGCAGUGGGGAAUUUUGGACAAUGGGGGCAACCCUGAUCCAGCCAUUCCGCGUGAGUGAAGAAGGCCUUCGGGUUGUAAAGCUCUUUCGCAAGGGAAGAAAACUUAUGAUCGAAUAAAUCAUGAGGUUGACGGUACCUUGAUAAGAAGCACCGGCUAACUACGUGCCAGCAGCCGCGGUAAUACGUAGGGUGCGAGCGUUAAUCGGAAUUACUGGGCGUAAAGCGUGCGCAGGCGGUUUUGUAAGUCGGAUGUGAAAUCCCCGGGCUCAACCUGAGAACUGCGUUCGAAACUGCAAGGCUAGAGUGUGUCAGAGGGGGGUAGAAUUCCACGUGUAGCAGUGAAAUGCGUAGAGAUGUGGAGGAAUACCAAUGGCGAAGGCAGCCCCCUGGGAUAACACUGACGCUCAUGCACGAAAGCGUGGGGAGCAAACAGGAUUAGAUACCCUGGUAGUCCACGCCCUAAACGAUGUCAACUAGUUGUUGGUAGAGUAAAAUCUAUGAGUAACGUAGCUAACGCGUGAAGUUGACCGCCUGGGGAGUACGGUCGCAAGAUUA